rnacentral:misc_RNA from 1 species
GGAAGAAGCAUGCGAUAGACGUAAUACUGGUGCCUACUUCAGGUUAGACGUUUCACCCACGUUAUGGACACGAAAUUCUCGAGUGAAGAUUAUGAUCAAGGGCCAUUGGCCCACAAUCAACAAAAGUUCAAUGAUAGACUCGUUAGGACACCUGAUGACCAUCAGCAAUUUGAGACACUUGUACGUUCAACUACAUCAACUGAUCACCAGUGUCAUCCACCUCCUGCAGUUAAAGACAGUCUUGCUGAUGACGUCGGACAUUCACACACAGUCGUUAAUUUUAACAUAAGGAGAGACAGAAGCCGCGAGAUUGACACCAAACCAUUGUCGAACGCUUGGAAAACAGCAUUAGGCGUUGCAUCAACUCACUCGACCAUGAAUAAGGAACGAAAGAGACUCGUUCGAAAGGGCCCAAAAAUUGUCGAAAGGCCAGUCCGUGCGCUCAUGUGCUUGAACUUGAAGAACCCUCUUCGGAAGUUAUGCAUUGAUAUAGUAGAGUGGAAGCCUUUUGAAUAUCUCAUAUUGUUGACCAUAUUUGCCAACUGCGUCGCAUUAGCUGUGUACACUCCAUAUCCCAACAGUGAUUCUAAUCAGGUUAAUCAUUAUUUGGAAAAAGUAGAAUAUGUUUUCCUGGUGAUCUUCACAAUUGAAUGUAUCAUGAAAAUUAUAGCCUAUGGGUUUUUAUUCCACCCAGGUGCUUAUCUACGUAAUGCAUGGAAUGUACUCGAUUUUAUUAUAGUAGUAAUAGGUAUCAUUAGUACAGCCUUAUCCACCUUUUUGAAGGAAGGUUUUGAUGUCAAAGCCUUAAGAGCAUUCCGAGUUUUAAGACCACUUAGAUUAGUAUCUGGAGUCCCUAGCCUACAAGUUGUAUUGAAUUCCAUUCUUCGUGCCAUGGUGCCUUUACUUCACAUUGCUCUUCUAGUCAUUUUCGUUAUCAUCAUCUAUGCCAUCAUCGGGCUUGAACUGUUUUCAGGAAAAAUGCAUAAGACUUGUUUUGAUAACAUAACAAAGGUGAUUGGACUGGAUGAUCCCCACCCUUGCUCAGUUGGAUCAAGUGGCUUCCAUUGUAGUGAAUAUAAAGAAAAUCUUGUGUGUAGAGAAUACUGGGAUGGCCCAAACGAUGGAAUCACAAACUUUGACAAUUUUGGCCUUGCCAUGUUAACUGUAUUCCAAUGUGUGACAUGUGAAGGAUGGACAGAUGUUCUGUAUGAUAUAAAUGAUGCUGUGGGAAAUGAAUGGCCAUGGAUCUAUUUCUUAAGCCUCAUCAUCAUUGGUUCUUUCUUUGUUCUUAAUCUUGUGUUAGGUGUACUAAGUGGGGAGUUCACCAAAGAAAGAGAAAAGGCUAAAGCAAGAGGAGAUUUUCAUAAACUUCGAGAAAAGGAACAAAUUGAAGAAGAUCUUCGGGGUUAUUUGGACUGGAUUACACAAGCAGAGGAUAUAGAUCCAGAUGAAAAUGAAGGAAGUGAAGAUUCAAGACAUGAUGUUUAUGUGUUCAAGCACAAUGAUGUAGAUAUUGGAGACAAGAUAGAAGGGGAAACUAACAGUGUAGACAACUUAAAAAACCCAUCUUGGUGGGCAAUCAGAAGUAAACAGCUAGCAAAACAGAACAGAAGAUUGAGAAGAGCUUGUCGUAAAGGGGUGAAAUCACAGGCUUUUUAUUGGAUUGUCAUUGUCUUAGUUUUCUUCAAUACAUUUACACUUGCAUCAGAACACUACCAACAACCAGCAUGGCUUGACAGUUUUCAAGAAGUUGCCAACAUGUUUUUUGUGGUGCUCUUCAGCUUAGAAAUGAUACUCAAGAUGUACAGUUUGGGGUUCCAAGGCUACUUUGUCUCUCUCUUCAACCGUUUUGACUGUUUUGUGGUUAUCAGUUCUAUCAUGGAAAUGGUCUUAACAUAUACUGAUGUCAUGCCUCCUCUUGGGGUUUCUGUGUUACGAUGUGUUAGAUUGCUAAGAAUCUUCAAAGUUACAAAAUACUGGGCAUCUCUUAGAAAUUUGGUAGCUUCACUUAUCAACUCCAUGCGUUCCAUCGCAAGUUUACUACUGCUGCUGUUUCUGUUUAUUGUAAUUUUUGCACUUCUGGGUAUGCAAGUUUUUGGUGGCAAAUUCAAUUUUGGAGAAGCAGAAGAAAAACCACGCAGCAAUUUUGAUUCGUUUUGGCAAUCUUUGUUAACAGUUUUUCAGAUUCUGACUGGGGAAGACUGGAAUGUUGUGAUGUAUCAUGGUAUUAAUGCAUAUGGUGGGGUUGGCUCUGUUGGUAUUUUGGCUUGCAUAUACUUCAUAAUACUCUUCAUCUGUGGUAACUACAUUCUCUUAAAUGUAUUCUUGGCUAUUGCUGUGGACAACCUGGCUGAUGCAGAGAGCCUAACUGCUGUUGAAAAGACGAAAGAAGAUGUUUGUGGCAAAGGUAUGAAAAUGGAAAACUUUUUAAUGAAGGAGGAAGCAGAAGAAGUUGCUGAAGUACGAACACAAGAUGUAGUUGAGGAUGAAGAGCGAGAAGACAGAAAACCAGUAGAAAAGAAGAAGAAAAAGAAGAAAUUAAUAGAUGAAGUAGCAGAGGAAGAAGAAAUUGAACAGCUAGAUACAAAUGACACUUCACAAAUGAAUCAUAUUCCUCUUUUCAGAUCUUCCACGGACGUUCUUGAUAAGUCUACACAGGUUUGUAAUAAAGUGGAUGAUGAUUCCCCACUAAAUAAUGAACAAGGGAAGACAGAAGAGGAAGAUGGUGAAGGUGAAAAUGAUGAGGAAGAAAUGGAAGAUGAAGAAAAAGUAGAUUUAGAAUCGGCUGCAAUUUCCAUUGGUGCUCAUCCAAGACGUCUUUCUGAACUCAACAUCUCCAAAAAUGUUCAUCCUAUUCCAAAAGCCUCUUCCUUUUUUGUUUUCUCUCAUACAAACAGGUUCCGAGUCAUCUGUCAUCGUAUUAUAAACCAUUCACUCUUCAGCAAUAUUGUUCUUGCUUGUAUUCUUAUUAGUAGCACCAUGUUAGCUGCAGAAAAUCCGCUUAAUUCUAAUUCAGAAAGAAAUAAAGUCCUCAACUAUUUUGAUUAUUUUUUCACAACUGUUUUUACAAUUGAAAUUACUUUGAAGGCAGUUACAUAUGGUGUCAUUCUCCACAAGGGUUCUUUUUGUCGAAGUGCCUUCAACCUGUUAGAUGUUCUGGUUGUUUCAGUAUCCCUCAUAUCAUUUGCUUUUGACAAUGAAGCCAUAUCUGUUGUCAAAAUUCUUCGUGUCCUAAGAGUAUUAAGGCCUUUAAGAGCUAUUAACAGAGCUAAGGGACUUAAGCAUGUAGUUCAGUGUGUCAUUGUAGCAGUAAAAACUAUAGGCAACAUCAUGUUGGUGACCUUUCUUCUAAAUUUCAUGUUUGCUGUCAUUGGAGUACAACUUUUCAAGGGGAAGUUCUUUUCAUGCUCUGAUCCAUCAAAAAUGACGAAAGAAGAAUGCGAGGGAGGAUUUUUAAUAUAUCAAGGAGGGGAUAUAAGUAGCCCUGUGCUGGAGCAAAGAGAAUGGCAGAAAAAUGUCUUCAAUUUUGAUGAUGUUUCUCAAGGCAUGCUGACACUAUGUACUGUAUCAACAUUUGAGGGUUGGCCACUAUUAUUAUAUGUAGCCAUUGAUUCCAAUACAGAAGAUGUGGGACCCAUUCAUAAUUAUCGACCAAUGGUAGCUGUGUUCUUCACUGUGUAUAUUAUCAUUAUCGCUUUCUUCAUGGUGAACAUCUUUGUUGGCUUUGUUAUCGUGACAUUUCAGAAUGAAGGAGAACAAGAAUAUAAGAACUGUGAGUUAGAUAAGAAUCAAAGAAAUUGUGUUGAGUUUGCAUUGAAGGCUAAGCCAGUGAGGCGUUUUAUUCCCAAACAUCAUCUCCAGUACAGAAUUUGGUGGUUUGUUACUUCUCAUUACUUUGAAUAUGCCAUCUUCAUCUGUAUUAUGAUCAACACCUUGUCAUUAGCAAUGAAAUAUCAUAAUCAACCACAUACAUACACCAUGGCCUUGGAUGUCCUUAACCAGAUAUUCACAGCAGUGUUUGCUCUUGAGUUUGUUUUGAAAAUGAUGGCUUUUGGAUUCAAGAACUAUUUUGGUGAUUCUUGGAACAUAUUUGACUUCAUCAUUGUUCUUGGAAGCUACAUUGAUAUCAUUGUUGCUGAUUUAAAUCCUGGUACCAAUAUCAUAAGCAUAAACUUUUUUCGUCUAUUCCGUGUAAUGCGUCUUGUGAAACUACUAAGCAGAGGAGAGGGAAUCAAAACACUACUGUGGACUUUCAUAAAGUCUGUUCAGGCACUGCCUUAUGUAGGUUUGCUCAUUGUCAUGUUGUUCUUCAUUUAUGCUGUGAUUGGGAUGCAGGUUUUUGGAAAAAUUGCCCUUGAUUCUGAUUCUGCCAUUCAUAGAAAUAACAAUUUUCAGACGUUUCCGCAAGCAAUUUUGGUUUUAUUCAGGUCUGCCACAGGAGAAGCAUGGCAGGAUAUCAUGAUGAGUUGCUCCAACAAGCCAACAGUGAUAUGUGAUUCUCGCUCUAAUACCCCUGGGACGUGUGGGAGUGACUUUGCUCUGCCUUUCUUCAUCUCGUUUUACAUCCUCUGCUCAUUUUUGGUCAUUAACCUUUUUGUGGCUGUUAUCAUGGAUAACUUUGACUAUUUGACUCGAGACUGGUCCAUCUUAGGUCCUCAUCACCUUGAUGAAUUUGUACGGCUUUGGUCUGAGUAUGAUCCAGAUGCCAAAGGGCGGAUCAAACACCUUGAUGUCGUGACUUUGCUACGGAAGAUCUCUCCACCUUUAGGAUUUGGUAAACUCUGUCCGCAUAGAGUAGCCUGCAAAAGACUUGUAUCCAUGAACAUGCCCCUGAACACUGAUGGAACUGUCAUGUUUAAUGCUACAUUAUUUGCAGUUGUUCGAACCUCUUUACGUAUCAAAACAGAUGGAAACAUGGAUGAAGCAAAUGAGGAGCUGCGAGCAGUUAUAAAGAAAAUAUGGAAAAGAACCAGCCCUAACUUGUUGGACCAAGUUGUACCACCUGCUGGAGUGGAAGAUGAUGUUACUGUAGGAAAAUUUUAUGCCACAUUCUUGAUCCAGGAUUAUUUCAGACGAUUCAAGAAAAGGAAAGACGAGAGAGAUCUUGGAAACUCUGAUAACGCUGUGGCUCUAACAGCUGGUUUACGUACAUUGCACGAAGUAGGACCUGAAAUCCGACGAGCUAUAUCUGGAAACUUGGAUGCAGAUGAAUUUGAAAAUACUUGGGACUCUGAACCAUUACAUAGGAGAAACCAUCCAUUUUUUGGAAAUAUGUGGUCUUCAGAAAGCAGAAAGCAACCUGACAGAAUACACGGCAAUUCAACAAACUCUCUUACUAAGGUUUUACCAAUGAAGCCUUACAUGCCAAGCCCAAAACAGUACUUAGUUUUGAACCAUAUCAGUCUGUCCAGGGAUGGAUUGGCUAAAGCUAGUAUGAGUGACCACUCAUCCCUUAAUGCUGGACAAACAUCGACCAAAGCACACUCCUACCCUGUAGCUGAAGUUGGUAACACUAAUCCUGUUGACUCACCAUCCUCAAGUAUGAGUGUUUUUGACUCUCCUGAACAUCCUGUAUGUCACCCACUAAUUUCCUCAUCCAACGACAUUUGCAGUACCUAUGAUCCAAGUUUGGAUGGAGAUGCUGUAGCUUAUCUACCUUACAGAUAUUCUUUUCAAACUCCACCAUUCCGGUCCACACGUAUCCAGCAACCCCGCCAGCCUUCUACUGUAAUAACUAGUCUCAGUUGCUCAAGUACAGAAAGUGUUGACUCCUUUCCUAACAUCAUGAUGCCAACCAUCAGACCUUCCCUUGCUGCUGACUAUUCCGUAGAGGACUCUGAUGAGCAGUUAGGUCCUAAACCUCCUACCCCUCCCCCACGAAAGUUCCUUAGAAGGGGUAUAGGUAGAGAUGGUAGUUUCCGUCCGUCUUGUCUCCGCAAGCAGGAUAGUAACGAACAUCCCAUUAGCACUGACUGUGGACCUGAAGAUCAUCAUCAGCAGAAUGGAUACAAUGACAAAAGUUCCUUAAAUCAUGUGGCAGCUUAUCUUAGGCAUGCUCAGCUUCCUGCCAUGGCAGUGGCAGGACUUGCCUAUGAUGGUGACAUACACCAAUCGACUGAUCAACAGAAUGACAAAGGGCAUCGUGAAGAUGGAAAACCUUACUACUUUUUAACUCACAAAUCUACCUAUUGUGGUUACCAACCUGGUGCUGUGAGGAAGAUUUGUGAUACAAACAGAUCUAUGGAAGUCAAAGGAAGUGCAGAAAAUCUUGUAGGGAGGGUAUUGCAUGAACAAGGUUUGGGUAAGUAUUGCGACCCAGAGUUUGUGAGAACUACUCAGCGAGAAAUAGCUGAAGCUAUCGACAUGACUCAGGAAGAAAUGGACAGAGCUGCUCAUCAGAUUCUUCUUCAAGCAGAACCAGAUUCUGCUGCUGGUGUUUUGUAUUGCUCUAAGAAUCAUUCAGAAUAUGAUCUUCUGGGAAAUUUACAGAGAGGUGACUGUAGUGAUGUAACCAAGGGCACAGAAACUGAAGUCUUAGGUUCGGCUUUAGACAUGAAUGCCUAUAUUUCUUAUCAAAAUGAGGCUGAUUCGUCUGUUAAAAUCAACUCUACAAGGAGAUAUGACAAAAGUAGAAAAUAUGACAAUACGACUUUAUAGCACUUAUAGCUUUAGGGUGGAAAUUAUUAAAGUCCGGACCUGGAGAUAUCCACUUGGAUUUGAGAAUUGUCACUGGUGCUUCCUGCCACGUGAGCUCAGUUUUGUAUUGUACAAUGUUGGAUAUUAUUCUUUAUGUGCUACACAUUAAUGUUUCAUCAAGUUUUGUUUAUCCAUGUUCUCUCUCUCUCUCUCUCUUCAUGACUCUUACUAUGGUGCUAUAGAGGGUAAUAAUUCCCAGUGCCUUCCCACAUCCCAAUUUAUAAUUUGUGUAUUUUUGAUGAAACCUCACUGCUGGAUGAAGUGUUCCAUUAGUGAACAGUAGCCCAGUUUCCUUUGGUCACAACUGUUUCUCAUACUCAUUGGACAUUUUCUUAUCUGCAAUUGUCGAUUAUGUUGGUGCAGAAAAGUUCUUGCAAGGACAUCAUGCCUUAUCAAGUAAAGAACUGCCAACAACUGGUAUCUUUGGGACUGAAAGAGGUUUUUAGCAUUUUGUAACUGAUGCUUUCUAAGAACAACAACAAUCAAGUCUAGGAAGAAACAUGCUUAAUAACGUUGUUCUAAAUGUAAAGUAAUAAAAUAAUAUUACAGUUAAAGACAAAUAUCCAAUAAAAUAUACAUCAGUAAAUCCAACAAAACAUUCACCAGUUAAACAACAACAACAACAGAUUAUGUAGUUUUUGAGCAGUUUUAAGGUUAGCUUGUAACUGGUUAGUAGGUUUUAGAAUAUUGAGAACAGAGGAAAUUUAGUAACAGAGAAAAUAGUACUAAGUGUGUUUUGAAUAAUAAGAAUAUAGAUACACCAGCAAAAGAGGGUGGAUAUUUAGUGUCCAGAAUAUGAAAAAUAAAGAUACAUCAUUGGAAAAAAAGUAGUUAAUUGACAUCUAAAGUAUGAGGAAUAAAGAUAGGUUAUUAAAAGAAAGUGAUUACUUAGUGUCCAGAAUAUGAAGAAUAAGGAUACAUCAUUGGAAAAAAGUAGUUAAUUGACAUCUAAAGUAUGAGGAAUAAAGAUAUGUUAUUAAAAGAAAAAAGUGAUUAAUUAGUGUCAAAGUAUGAGAAAUGGAUACACCACUGAAAGAAAGUGAUUACUUAGUGUCUAGAGUAUAAAGAAUAAAGAUAUACUACUAGAAUAUGAGAAAUAAACAACACAAUAUCUUAAAAUGGUAAUAUUAAUAUUUAAUAUGGAAACAUCUAUCAUAUACAUUAUAUUAUA